GUAGGUGGCAAGCGUUGUCCGGGAAUUAUUGGGGCGUAAAGCGCGCGCAGGCGGUUCUUUAAGUCUGAUGUGAAAGCCCACGGCUCAACCGUGGAGGGUCAUUGGAAACUGGAGAACUUGAGUACAGAAGAGGAAAGCGGAAUUCCACGUGUAGCGGUGAAAUGCGUAGAGAUGUGGAGGAACACCAGUGGCGAAGGCGGCUUUCUGGUCUGUAACUGACGCUGAGGCGCGAAAGCGUGGGGAGCAAACAGGAUUAGAUACCCUGGUAGUCCACGCCGUAAAAGAUGAGUGCUAAGUGUUAGGGGGUUUCCGCCCCUUAGUGCUGCAGCUAACGCAUUAAGCACUCCGCCUGGGGAGUACGGCCGCAAAGGCUG
rnacentral:rRNA from 1 species